rnacentral:misc_RNA from 1 species
UGCAUUUCCAUAGAUUGCUGAGUUUCCAUCAAGAAAUUUGCUGGCUUUAGACCAUUGGGAGCUGGGAUAUGAUUGUGAAUAUGCAGUCAGUUCUCUACUGAACCGCAAUGCAAUAUGAUUUUCUAGCAAGUUUUGAACGGUUUGUAUUCUUUUUUUUUUUUGGCUUUUGUCAUGAGGUUUAAGUAACAAGUGAGCAAUAUUAAAUGGAAAAAAAAAAAUACACAUGUAGAG